CAACCCACACCACAUUCACUGAAUUUUUAAAUAGGAUAUGGCAAAGAUGAAAAUCAAUGGCAGAAAAUGUAACAGCCACUUGUCAAUAUCUCAUGUCUAACAGAGUUGAUCAAAGUUCUCGUAAAGUGUACCAUUCUACAUUCCCCAAGACCCAAGCCUAAACUAUAUUUCAUUUCAUUUCAUCUUUUCUUGACUUUAAAUCCACAGAUUAGAAUUAGAUUUAACCUAUGAGAGGAUUAUAAAGUUUCAUAACAGCUACUAAAUCCUUCCUAUUUUCUUUCCAAUUAUGCAAAAAAUGGCUCACUUCAUUGUUAGCUAGUGAAAAGCUAAAAGUUCAAGCAUGAAUCACAGCUCAAUAAGCCAGCCACUGACCAUAGACCGGAUGUGCAAACUUUCUGAAAAGUUGGUGGCUGUGUGUGUGGAGUAUUUGAGUGACAUUACAUUUACACAUUCUCACCCUUGGGGGACCCUUUUGAAGGACAAAUAAAAGACUCACAUGCCUUGUUCCGGCCAAAGCAGACAAAAAAACCUCAGUGAUGUCUUAUCAUUCCGCAUGCCAAAAUUUCACCUGCAAAAAUGAGAGAAUUAGACUACCAGAGACAGGAAAAUUUGCAACAAGUGAUGAACAAAAUAUCUGCAAAUCCAUAUCAUGCAUCAAACUCUGCAUGCGCGUGAAACACAGCCAGUUUCAUAUCUGUGCAUGAUAACCUAAGUUACAUAAUUGCUAUACAUUGUGCCUUCAUGACAUCCUGUUUGGUAAAUACCAGGACCAUCAUGUUCAAAUUGAUUAUGAGAACUUCAAACUGCCCAGAUCAAGCCUUAAAGUUGCAUUAUUUAUUUAACCAUUACACGAGGCAAUAUUGCAGCAAUAAUCGAAGAUCUAAGUAACAUUGCGGAAAUUCUCCAAUUCUAGUUAUUUAUUUAACCAUUAAAUGAGACAACAUGAGAAACCAACUCAUUUGAGACCUUCACAAGUGUCCCAAUGAGGAAAGUAUCACUGCAUGAGAAAAUGUACACCACAUGCAAUGCAAGUAUUUUACCAGCAAUGCUCAAAGUUGCAUUAAGAAUGUAUCACAUGCAUCAAAAAUUCACCAGACCUUUCUAGCCAAAAAGCUGCCAACAUCCGGCACUGAUAUUAAUCAUCUCAAGUAACUUCACGAAUCUUUACGUUGGGGGAGACCAUGGCAUUUGCAGGUGUCUUUGACAAGUUACUCUUUGCAUUUCCAGCAGCUUGUCCAACAGAGCUUUUGGCAUUUGUCAUCUCAGUUGCCAAAAUCGACUUCUUUAUUGCUGCGAGACGUUCCUUGUGGAUAUCACUUGUAAGCGGUUUUCGAUAGGUUUUAAUCUCAUCACCACUAAAUCCUGGGAGGGUCAUAUUCCAAUUUCUUUCAAGAUGUAGAAGUAUGUCUUUUGCUUCCAAUGUAUCAGAUUUUCGAUGUUUGGCUAAGGAGCAGCCAAAUGUUGUGAUAGAAUCAACAAAUUCAUCAGCUAUAUCUGCAAGAAUGUCUUCAACUUCAGGAUCCAAUUUCUCAGAAGGGUCGAUCUGGCUAACUAGCUCAUUGAUACUUCUUUUGCUAAGAAUCCGGUUACCAGAUUCUUCACUUUCUGCAUUAGCUGUCCUAUUCUGGGUGCCUGGCUGUACAGUAUUAGGCUGUACCAUUGGCAAGGAAAGUGGCUUUGGGUUUGCUGAACCUUGAAGGCCAAGCUGUUGUGUUAUGGACCGUGGAACCCUUGACGGUGGAAAUUGUUGUCCAUAAUGAUCCGAUGGUUGAUGGGAUGGUAAAGGUUGCUGCGGUUGUGCAGAUGACAUGUGCUGUUGCUGUGAAGUAGUUGGCAGGGAAUGAUGUUGCUGAGGAAUAUGUGACCUUUGUUGCAAAGAUGGUGCGUUUAUCUGUGGUCUAUAUGAAGCGGAAGGCAAUGGAGGCUUGCCUUGAGAUCCAGAUGACAACCAUGGCUGACUAGGGGACUGCAUACUUUGCGAUGCACUUGGUGCUGGAGAACUAGGAGGACCUACAGAAGACGGUCUCAUAAAACCAUGCCCUUGGAAAUUUUGGGUGGCAGGAGACUGGUUAUUUGGGGAAGAAGAGGAAGGUCUAAUAGAUGAUUGAACAGGUCUCUGUUGAUGAUGUCCAGAAAUCCCACCUGACCGAAUUUGAGAACCCGAACUCACUGAUCCCACCAUUCCCAUUCCCUGCACUCCCUGCAUCCCCUGCCUAGCCUGUGAAUUGCUAGUAUUAGCUACAGAUUCAGGCACAUUGACUGUUCCGCGACUCAAUCCCCCAUACUGCUGCCCAAAAGAAGAUGAAAAAGGCGCCGGAGAAGGGCUAGCGUGAGGGGCAGGAACACCAAUAGCAACACCACCCCUUUGUUGCGAUGCAGAAAUGGAAGGCGAAGCAGACGAUGACAAGGAAAGGGCAGAGGAAGCUGGAAGAGAAGAAGACGGCGAAGUGAUUGAGGAGAAGUGCGGGAAGUGGGAAUGUGGAUGAGGAUGCUGCCAUGGUCUAUGCAAUGUCUGGGGCCUAGAGGCAGAAGAGUGAGGUUGAGAUUGGGAUGGGGUAGAGGUUGAGGGUCUAGGGUUAGGGCUAGGGCUAGGGCUAGGGUUAGGGUUUGGAGUGGUUGGGGCUGGGGAUGGGGCUGAAUGAGUAGUGGAGGAAGGUAGUUGUAAUGGAGGCGGCUGUUGCUGUUGUUGCUGUGGUGGUCGAGGUGCCGGUGGUGACGGCUGUGAUGGCGAUGUUUCAGUAGGUUGAGAACCGGCCGUUCCUGUGGUGGGAGGAGUAGGGAUGGAGGAGGUGGGGAUUGGUUGGUCCAUCGAGAGAGC
rnacentral:misc_RNA from 1 species